rnacentral:misc_RNA from 1 species
GCUGGCUUCUUUGGAGGCAUUGUGCACACUUGGCUCCAUUUUUAUUACCACCUGUGCACUUUUUGUAGAUUCUCUUUGGGAGGAAAUUUAUCGAGGAAAACUCGGUUUGAGGAAUUGCUGCUAGUCAGCUGUCCUUGUUGGUAUCCUACCAAAAAGAUCUAUGUUUUUAUAUACCCCUAAAGUAUGUUUUAGAAUGUCAUUAAUUUGUAGGGCUUCAUUGCCUUUAAAUUUAAAUACAACUUUCAACAACGGAUCUCUUGGCUCUCGCAUCGAUGAAGAACGCAGCGAAAUGCGAUAAGUAAUGUGAAUUGCAGAAUUCAGUGAAUCAUCGAAUCUUUGAACGCACCUUGCGCUCCUUGGUAUUCCGAGGAGCAUGCCUGUUUGAGUAUCAUUUAAUUCUCAACCUUUUUCAGCUUUUU